AUUGAACGCUGGCGGCAGGCCUAACACAUGCAAGUCGAGCGAGCGGCGGACGGGGGUGUAAUGUAUGGGGACUGCCCCAUAGAGGGGGAUAACUACUGGAAACGGUAGCUAAUACCGCAUACUAUCGGAUAACCCAUAUGGGAUUAGCUAGUUGGUGAGGUAAUGGCUCACCAAGGCGACGAUCCCUAGCUGGUCUUAGAGGAUGAUCAGCCACACUGGAACUGAGACACGGCCCAGACUCCUACGGAGGCAGCAGUGGGGAAUAUUGCACAAUGGGCGCAAGCCUGAUGCAGCCAUGCCGCAUGUAUGAAGAAGGCGCGAGGGUUGUAAAGUACUUUCAGUCGGGAGGCGUUACCGACAGAAGAAGCACCGGAUAACUCCGUGCCAGCAGCCGCGGUAAUUC
rnacentral:rRNA from 1 species